GAUUUCGGGUAAUUGCGCUUAUUAAGUUAAGUGAGGAAAGUCCAUGCUCGCACUAGCUGAGAUGCUAGUAGUGAUCGUGCUUAGCGAAACAAUAAGCUAAGGCAAUACAUAUUGACGGCGGACAAACAGGCUAAGGGAAACUAUGCCUCAGUAAUCCUGAAAAGUGCCACAGUGACGAAGUGCCAGGGAAACCUCGGCAGUGGAACGCGGUAAACCCCUCGAGCGAGCAACCCAAACAUUAUUGGUAGGGGCACUCUUCUAACGGAAUUGAACGUGUGGAGGAGCCGGGAAACCGGAGACAGAUAAUUACCCCUAGUAGAGAAGUUCCUGCAGCUCUAUUAGGACAGAACAUGGCUUACAGAA
rnacentral:RNase_P_RNA from 1 species